AGGAGCGGGUCUGUCCACGCUGUAAAAACCAGGUGGAGACUCUUGCUCGCAUUAUACUUGACUAUCCGAGAUAUGUGGGGAUUAGGAAUUUCUCUCCUGGGCGGGUCUUAGACAAAUCUGAAAGAGACUCUGACAGCUCUGUUGUGGAGCUUUUGUUAAAUAACACAGAGGCCGUGCUCUUGGA